CACAUAGCCUCCUCAGAUCCAGAUCUAGGGUUUGCAGUUUUGCAAUUUAUAUCAGAUUCAAAAUACAAGAUAUUAUGGGAUAAACAACUAGAUGUUGAAGGCAAAGAUAAGAAGUGUUAAGAUCUUAGGACGUGGUGUUAAGAUGAAGUAUUAUUUUGCUGCUGUUUCACUUGUUUCUCAAUUGAGCUUAGAGGAAAUUGUUCGUUCCAUGGUUACUCUCUUGUUCAAUCGUUGCUCCUGUUUGGUUCAGAUGUCUACUUAUCCUUCCAAAUCGGGCGAGAUUAUUGAGAUGGGCCAUGUGUUUUCUACUGUGGUAAAACAUUUGUUCGAAAGGAUUUUGUAUUAACGGUGAUGCUUGACGAAGCACUGCACUUUCAUGACAGGCAAUAAUGUUAAAAUUUUGGUUCUGUCAUGAUAAGUUUUAGAGCUUGAUCAAUGGGCUCUAGACUUUGAUCAAUGGACUCUAGACCUUGAUCAAUAGGCUAUUUAAUUGAUAUGAUACAAAAACGGGAGAAACAAUCAGUUAAUCCUGUUAUAUAAAUUUAUUUUUUAGUAAGAAUAUUGAAAGAGGUCAUAAGCCUACUUUUUUGUAAAGAUCCAUUGUUCAAUAAAACAAAUAGAUUUUAUCUGAUUUAUAUGGAUAUCAUUUUUUU